rnacentral:rRNA from 1 species
UAUUCCUGUACUACCGAUAACCGUUUGAGAGAAGGGAUGACACAGUAGGAUAAGCUAAGCACACUGUUGGUUAUGUGUGCCCAAGCAUUGAGGCAGUCAAAGUAGGCAAAUCCGCUUUGAUAAUGCUGGGAUGUGAUGGGGAGCGAAAUUUAGUAGCGAAGUAGCUGAUUUCACACUGUCAAGAAAAGUCUCUAUCGAGGUUAAAGGUACCCGUACCGCAAACCGACACAGGGGGGUGAGGAGAGUAUCCUAAGGCCAGCGAGAGAACUGUUGUUAAGGAACUCGGCAAAAUGACCCCGUAACUUAGGGAUAAGGGGUGCCACCA